rnacentral:lncRNA from 12 species
GCGGCGCAGGAACGAGAGGCUCACGGGGAAGGCCGCUUGGGAAGCGGUGAUGAAAACGGCGGGAAAGGGGACGGGAGCAUCAGCUCCCCAGGAGUCGGCCGCCUUUCCCUCCCGGAGCCCCGUGAGUCGGGGCGUUCAGUGCGGCCCUCACAGGUGGCGGCGCCCCCAAGGCCUGGGACUAGGCCUGCAGCUUCCGGCCACCGUCCGCCGUCGCUGCCCAGAAGCCACAGGCCAAUUCCCCGCCGUCGCCCGGGGAUCCCUGCCGGGUGGGCUGUGCUCCACGGGUCCCUACCCGGCGGGCUCUGUCCCGAGGCCCCUACCCGGCAGGCUUUGCUCCACGGGUCCCUACCCCGUAGACUUUGCCCCGAGGCCCCUACCUGGCAGGCUUUGCUCCGCGGGUCUCUACCCAGCGGACUUUGCCCUGAGGUCCCUACCCCGCAGGCUUUGCUCCGCGGGUCUCUACCCUGUGGGCUUUGCUCCACGGGUCUCUACCCAGCGGGCUUUGUCCUAAGGCCCCUACCUGGCAGUCUUUGCUCCACAGGUCCCUACCCCGUGGGCUUUGCCCCGAGGCCCCUACCCGGCAGGCUUUGCUCCGCGGGUCCCUACCCAACGGACUUUGCCCUGAGGUCCCUACCCGGCAGGCUUUGCUCCGCGGGUCUCUACCCAACGGACUUUGCCCUGAGGUCCCUACCCGGCAGGCUUUGCUCCACGGGUCCCUACCCCAUGGGCUUUGCCCCGAGGCCCCUACCUGGCAGGCUUUGCUCCACGGGUCUCUACCCAGCGGGCUCUGUCCUAAGGCCCCUACCCGGCAGGCUUUGCUCCGCGGGUCCCUACCCAGAGGGCUUUGCCCUGAGGUCCCUACCCGGCAGGCUUUGCUCCGUGGGUCCCUACCCAGCGGGCUUUGUCCUAAGGCCCCUACCUGGCAGGCUUUGCUCCACAGGUCCCUACCCCGUGGGCUUUGCCCCGAGGCCCCUACCUGGCAGGCUUUGCUCCACGGGUCUCUACCCAGCGGGCUCUGUCCUAAGGCCCCUACCCGGCAGGCUUUGCUCCGCGGGUCCCUACCCAGAGGGCUUUGCCCUGAGGUCCCUACCCGGCAGGCUUUGCUCCGUGGGUCCCUACCCAGCGGGCUUUGUCCUAAGGCCCCUACCUGGCAGGCUUUGCUCCACGGGUCCCUACCCCGUGGGCUUUGCCCCGAGGCCCCUACCUGCCGGCUCUGCCCCUGUAGGCCCCUGCCCGCGGCUCUGCCCCCCGUGGGACCCCACCCGGCAGGCCCUGCCCCGCAGCCGCGGCCCAUCCCGCUGCCUGGCACCGCUACCCAGGGGUUGCUGCCCGCCGCCGUGA